rnacentral:rRNA from 1 species
UACGUAGGCAGCAAGCGUUGUUCGGAAUUACUGGGCGUAAAAGGGCGCGUAGGCGGCCGAUCAAGUCAGAUGUGAAAGUCCUGGCUUAACCUGGGACUGCAUUUGAUACUGAUUGGCUUGAAUUCGGGAGAGGAUAGCGGAAUUCCCGAGUGUAGCGGUGAAAUGCGUAGAUAUUGGGAGGAACACCAGUGGCGAAGCGGCUCACUGGACCGUACUGGACGCUGAGUGCGCGAAAGCGUGGGA